rnacentral:rRNA from 1 species
GAUGAACGCUGGCGGCGUGCCUAAUACAUGCAAGUCGAGCGAACGGACGAGAAGCUUGCUUCUCUGAUGUUAGCGGCGGACGGGUGAGUAACACGUGGAUAACCUACCUAUAAGACUGGGAUAACUUCGGGAAACCGGAGCUAAUACCGGAUAAUAUUUUGAACCGCAUGGUUCAAAAGUGAAAGACGGUCUUGCUGUCACUUAUAGAUGGAUCCGCGCUGCAUUAGCUAGUUGGUAAGGUAACGGCUUACCAAGGCAACGAUGCAUAGCCGACCUGAGAGGGUGAUCGGCCACACUGGAACUGAGACACGGUCCAGACUCCUACGGGAGGCAGCAGUAGGGAAUCUUCCGCAAUGGGCGAAAGCCUGACGGAGCAACGCCGCGUGAGUGAUGAAGGUCUUCGGAUCGUAAAACUCUGUUAUCAGGGAAGAACAUAUGUGUAAGUAACUGUGCACAUCUUGACGGUACCUAAUCAGAAAGCCACGGUAACUAGUGCCAGAGCCGCGGUAAUACGUAGUGGCAAGCGUUAUCCGGAAUUAUUCGGGCGUAAAGCGCGCGUAGACGGAACAAAGGUCUGACUGUGAAAAGCCCCAGGUCCAACCGUGGCAGGGUCAUUGGAACACUGGGAAAACUCGCAGUGCAGACAGCAGGA